GGGGUUGAAGCUCAGUGAUAGAGCACUUGCUUAUCAAGCAUGAGACAUUGGGUUCAAUCCUCAGCACCA
rnacentral:tRNA from 1 species